AGAGCCGGCCCUGACGGUAUCCCCUUAGCAAGCACCGGCUAACUCCGUGCCAGCAGCCGCGGUAAUACGGAGGGUGCAAACGUUGCUCGGAAUCAUUGGGCGUAAAGCGCGCGUAGGCGGCUGAACAAGUUGGAUGUGAAAGCCCCUGGGCUCAACCUAGGAUGUGCAUUCAAAACUGUUCGGCUUGAGUCUCGGAGGGGGUCAGAGAAUUCUCGGUGUAGAGGUGAAAUUCGUAGAUAUCGGGAGGAACACCAGUGGCGAAGGCGCUGACCUGGACGAUGACUGACGCUGAGGCGCGAAAGCGUGGGGAGCAAACAGGAUUAGAUACCCUGGUAGUCCACGCCGUAAACGAUGAGUGCUAGACGCUGGCGGAUUGACCCCGUCGGUGUCGAAGCUAACGCGUUAAGCACUCCGCCUGGGGAGUACGGUCGCAAGAACUAAAACUCAAAGGAAUUGACGGGGU
rnacentral:rRNA from 1 species